rnacentral:tRNA from 1 species
GCCCCUGUAGCUCAGUGGAUAGAGCAACGGCCUCCGGAGCCGUGUGCGGGGGUUCGAUUCCCCCCAGGGGCG